CCAAUGUGGAUACCCCCUGGGAGGUCACUGUCCACGGGGCUCUGUCCAGGUAGGGUAGGGGAGCAUCGGGCUCUGCCCCCUGAUGCCUGGUCCAUUUCCACAACAUUGGAGAGAAAGUGGGCUUUGAGUCUGCACCUGCGUGUUCCCACAGCUGCUCAGAGUCCUGUGGACAAUGACUGAGGAGACAAACCAUGCAGGAAACAUGU